UACGGAGGGGGCUAGCGUUGUUCGGAAUUACUGGGCGUAAAGGGCGCGUAGGCGGUCUUGUAAGUUCCGUGUGAAAGCCCGGGGCUCAACCCCGGGAGGCGGGUGGAUACUGUCAAGCUCGAGUCCGGAAGAGGCGAGUGGAAUUCCUGGUGUAGCGGUGAAAUGCGCAGAUAUCAGGAGGAACACCAAUGGCGAAGGCAGCUCGCUGGGACGUGACUGACGCUGAGACGCGAAAGCGUGGGGAGCAAACAGG
rnacentral:rRNA from 1 species